CAGAGCAGUGUGUGUGCUGGCAGAGUGAAAGUGAUCGUGGCAGAGCAGAGAUGUAGCAGCGUAGCUCGCUGGGACUCCACGGCCAGCCGUCUGUCACUUUUUUACCAGGAACCAUUUGUCUGACAUCGCCGCGGAAUGGGAAAGAUUGCACGUAUUUUUUGUACCGCUGCACUGUAUGAAUGUGCCGCGUAAUGCGACCGAGGACGGUUGCCUCUGGGGGGAAAUAUUUAUGUUCCGGGACCGUUUUGUUGGAGUAGCUAGUUGCUAGCACUGGGCUAGCGACUGUGCUGGCUACUUCAAGCGUAUUCUGCAAGGAUGCUACGGUGGAUACGACAGCAGCUGGGCUUUGACCCACCUCAUCAGAGUGAGACCAGAACGGUUUACGUAGCAAACCGUUUCCCCCAGCAUGGCCACUACAUACCACAGCGCUUUGCUGACAACAGAAUCAUCUCAUCCAAGUACACAAUUUGGAAUUUUGUCCCCAAGAAUCUGUUUGAGCAAUUCAGAAGGAUAGCGAACUUCUAUUUCCUCAUUAUCUUCCUUGUGCAGUUAAUGAUAGACACCCCAACUUCCCCCGUCACCAGCGGUCUGCCUCUCUUCUUUGUGAUCACAGUAACUGCUAUAAAACAGGGCUAUGAGGACUGGUUGAGACACAAGGCAGACAAUGAGGUGAAUGGGGCUCCAGUGUUUGUGGUUCGCAGUGGAAGCCUGGUCCAGACAAGAUCCAAGAAUAUCAGGGUGGGAGACAUUGUUCGUGUGGCUAAAGAUGAGACGUUCCCAGCUGACCUGGUGUUGCUGUCGUCAGAUCGUCCAGAUGGCACCUGUCACAUCACCACGGCCAGCCUCGAUGGAGAGACCAACCUUAAGACCCAUUACUCUGUGGCAGAGACAUCAGUGUGUCAGUCAGUGUCCCAACUGGAGGCUCUGCAGGCUGUGGUGGAGUGUCAACAACCUGAGGCUGACCUGUACAGAUUUGUUGGUCGUGUUACAGUGACUCAGCAUGGAGAGGAGAUAGUCAGACCACUGGGUCCAGAGAAUUUGCUGCUGAGAGGUGCCAGGUUAAAAAAUACCAAAGAGAUUUACGGUGUGGCAGUUUACACAGGGAUGGAAUCCAAGAUGGCCCUCAACUACAAGUGCAAAUCCCAGAAACGCUCUGCAGUGGAGAAGUCAAUGAAUACCUUCCUCAUCAUCUACCUGGGGAUCCUGCUUUUCGAGGCCGUCCUCAGCACCAUCCUGAAGUAUGCCUGGCAGGCUGAGGACAAAUGGGACGAGCCUUUCUACAACCAAAAGACUGAACAGGAGAGAAACAGCAGUCCGAUCUUAAAGUUCAUCUCAGACUUCUUGGCAUUUCUGGUCCUCUAUAACUUCAUCAUCCCCAUCUCGCUCUAUGUUACUGUGGAGAUGCAGAAGUUCCUGGGCUCCUUUUUCAUUGGCUGGGAUUUGGACCUUUACCAUGAGGAAAGUGACCAGAAAGCUCAGGUCAACACCUCGGACCUCAAUGAGGAGUUGGGACAGGUGGAGUAUGUGUUCACCGAUAAGACGGGUACGCUAACAGAAAAUGAAAUGCAAUUCCGUGAGUGUUCAAUCAAUGGAACCAAGUACCGUGAAGUUAAUGGCAAACUGGUACCAGAGGGAAUGACAGACGAUUCACCAGAUGGUUCCACACCUCACCUGAUUGGUGAGGAAUUGUUAUUUCUCAAGGCAGUGUCAUUGUGUCACACAGUUCAGAUCAGUUAUGACCAGCCAGACUGUCUGGUUGGGGGAGGAGACCCAUUCUCCCAUGCCAACGGUUUCUCUUCCAAUCACAUGGAGUACUAUGCCUCUUCACCAGAUGAGAAAGCUUUGGUAGAGGCAGCAAAGAGGAUUGGAGUGGCCUUCACUUGCAGCAGCGGCGAUACCAUGGAAAUCAAAACAUUUGGCAAGUCAGAGAAGUAUAAAUUACUCCAUGUGUUAGAGUUUGAUGCUGAUCGCAGGAGGAUGAGCGUCAUUCUACAGACUCCCUCGGGAGGCAAAGUGCUUUUCACCAAGGGUGCAGAGUCAGCCAUCUUGCCUUUCACUACUAGUGGGGAGAUUGAAAAGACAAGACUGCACGUUGACGAGUUUGCCUUGAAAGGUUUGCGGACUCUGGUGGUAGCGUGUCGGCACUUCAGUCCAGAGGAGUACAUUGAUGUGGACAGGCGCCUGAACGCCGCCCGCACCGCGCUGCAGCAGAGGGAGGAGAGACUGCAGGAAGCCUUCAGCUACAUCGAGAGAGACCUGCAGCUCCUGGGAGCAACGGGGGUAGAAGACAAACUUCAAGACAAAGUCCAGGAGACCAUUGAGGCUUUGCGGCUGGCAGGAAUUAAAGUGUGGGUGCUGACAGGGGACAAACAUGAGACAGCAGUCAGUGUCAGCCUGUCCUGUGGCCACUUCCACAGAACCAUGAACAUCUUGGAGCUCCUGCAGCAGCGCUCUGAUAAUGAGUGUGCCGAGCAGCUCCGCAGACUGGCCAGAAGGAUAAAGGAAGACCAUGUCAUACAGCAUGGGUUGGUUGUAGACGGGGCCAGCCUGUCUUUAGCAUUGAGGGAACACGAGAAGCUCUUUAUGGAAGUGUGUAAAAACUGUUCUGCUGUGCUGUGCUGCCGCAUGGCCCCACUGCAGAAAGCUAAGGUGGUGCGUCUUUUAAAGACAUCUCCUGAAAAACCCAUCACCUUAGCCAUUGGGGAUGGAGCUAAUGAUGUCAGUAUGAUACAGGAGGCCCACGUAGGCAUAGGUAUCAUGGGGAAGGAGGGUCGCCAGGCCGUGAGAAACAGUGACUAUGCAAUUGCCAGGUUUAAGUUCCUGGCUAAACUACUGCUGGUCCACGGUCACUUCUACUACAUUCGAAUAGCUACGCUUGUACAGUACUUUUUCUACAAGAAUGUGUGUUUUAUCACGCCCCAGUUUUUAUACCAGUUCUUCUGUUUGUUUUCACAACAAACUCUGUAUGACAGUGUUUAUCUGACACUGUACAACAUCUGCUUCACCUCGCUGCCCAUCCUGGUGUACAGUCUGUUUGAACAGCUGGUCCAUCCACAUAUACUGCAGAACAAACCUGGCCUGUACAGGGAUAUCAGCAAGAACUCUAUGCUGUCUUUCCGGACAUUCUUGUACUGGACUCUGUUGGGCUUCUGUCAUGCCUUUGUCUUCUUCUUUGGAUCCUACAUACUGAUGGGAGAAGACACCACUCUUAUGGGCAAUGGACAGAUCUUGCGAGCUAACAGGCAGCUGAUGUUCGGGAACUGGACAUUUGGAACGCUGGUCUUUACUGUUAUGGUCAUCACCGUCACAUUAAAGCUGGCGUUGGAGACUCAGUUUUGGACGUGGAUGAACCAUUUCGUGACAUGGGGCUCGAUUGCCUUCUAUUUCAUCUUCUCACUCUUCUAUGGAGGCAUUAUCUGGCCAUUCCUGCACACCCAGGACAUGUACUUCGUCUUCGUGCAGCUGCUCUCCAGUGGUUCGGCUUGGUUUGCCAUUAUCAUCAUCGUCAUAACUUGCCUCUUUCCUGAUGUGGUGAAGAAGGUCUUCUACAGACAUCUGCAGCCCACCAGCACACAGAAGAGUCAGAUGGAAGAGGGUGAGGGUUCAGUCGGCCCAGAAUAUGACCCUGUUAAAGCCCAGCGGAGCCCAGGGGAGGACAAUUGGCACCUGCUAGCUGCUUAUCCUCCCCCUGCUGCCCCCAGCCCAGACCCAUGCUCCCCUAGUCUCUAUCAGCCCCCCAGGCGCAGGCCCUCAGCUGUGUGGAGUCCCUGUGCUGCUACCAACAUGGGCAGAGUGGCUGUUCCCGCCUGGCCCACUUCCUGGAGCAAAUGACCGGACAGUGCAAGGCCAGCGCCAACAAUUGCCACUCAUCCAGCCGCAACAACAGGUCUUGGAGCGACACGGAGAACUUCUACUCCAACGAUCGCAGCAUCCUGACGCUGUCGCCCAUCGAGGCCACCCACUGCUGACUCCCAGCGCCACUGACUUUAAACACUUAGGACUGGGGGAGAGCUGCCACUCUGCUAUGAACCAUAACCACACCCUCAUCCACCCUUCCACCAUUUUGUAAACUGCUUCACUUAAAGCUCAGUGCGCUCUCAGCUGGACUCAUCGCAGUCACACGGGAUGAGGAAGCUGAGGACUUGGCUCGCUGCCGCAGUUUGAUUUAUCCUUCACCAGGUUGUGUCCCUGAGUGGAUCAAUUCUUAGAAAGGCUGACGGGAAGAUCAGAUGGGAGCUGCAACAUUAAAGGAAAUAAAAUUUGUAAUGCUAAAGUCAGCCUGGCUUGACGUCUGUGGAGCUGCAGUCCUUCAUGUCAGAAGAUUCAGGUUUCAGCAAGUCCUGUAAAAUCACCUGAAAACACCUUACAGGAAUCCACUCCCUUUAAAAGUGUCUUUAAUGUUUAAAGUCUGUCUGAUCAGCCCUUCCAUCCAUGAGUUCUUACAGAGCUAUUUAUUUUUCAUUUUCUGAUCAGCUGCCAAAUAUUUAUUCUUGUGACUGGCAUUAAAUGGACCUUCUAAGCCUAAGCAGACACAGAAUGGAGAUUUCUGGCUGUCUGCUAUGUUUGUUACAGAGGAACGCUAACCCGGCCGGUUUGGAUAAGUGGACCGACCUCAGCGGAGGUCACAGUCGGUUUGACAAACCAGGAUCCUGCAUGUAGCACCAGGGCAGAAGCUGGGGGACGUCAGACUGCAUUAUGAGCUCCACAUCACAUUGCUUCCAGAAACUGCUGCAUAAACUUCCAACACGGGUGUCUCUCAGCUGCCGACCCCACUGCUGCACCUUCUUUCUCAUUCAGCCUGAAAGGGAACAAGCUAAACCGCCCACAGCCCUGUAGCAUCCAGAGCCAUCCAGACCCGGAGGUUCUGCUAACUUGUCUCCGUCAGACUUGCAGAACCUUCCCAAUACUGUACGUGGAGCUUGAGCUCUGCUGUGGUACCAAAGACCAAAGGAUUCCGACCGGAGUUUGAAAGAAAAAGUGUUUAUUUUUGUGCCUGAUUGUACAAGAAGCUUAUAUAUUGUUGUUAAGAAGACUCGUUGUUGUUCGUGCUGCUUUCUCGUCUGACUGUUCAGGCCUCUUGUCUCCCCGAUGUGUCGUUCUGAAAGAGGCGGGAUGUUUAAAAAGCCAUACAUUUUGAAGAGGUUCUAUUAUUGAGAGAUUACUGAAGGGACUGCAGAUGGAAGCUGUUUGAGCCUGUUGCUACUUUGUACUCAUCCCCUUGAAUGCCUUUUCUCAAUCAGCCCGACGGCCGAAGGCAUCUCAGCAUUAAAGUCCGUGAGGAUCAGGGAAUAUUUGAAGGGUUUUCGAGCAUCUGUACACUCAGAAUUGAAGAUAAAAUCUUUCAUCAGAGUUGCCUGAAAACAUUUCUGAUCAGACGAUGGUACCGUUUUCAGUUCAGCGGGACGAAAAUGGCUUUAAUGGUGAGAUGCUUUUCCAAAUCACGGCUGAUGCAUGUCAACACAGACAGCAGAAUGUCUCUAUGUUCAGAUAGAUAAAUAUAUUUCACUUGGAGCAGAUAGGAAAAAAAAAAAAAAAGCAGAGUGUUUGCACAAUUCACAUGUCGGAUUCAUGUUUUAUUGGUUUUCUUUUCUGAAAAAACUCAUCGUCACCCGUCACCACUGAAAUCAUUUAAAUCACGUGUUUGCUGUUAUGUUGUUUUUGUCAUGUGUGUGCUUCUCUCCACCAGCUGUUGAAGUGUGUGUGUGUGUGUGGAGGUUUAAUGUUUCUCUGUGUGGCGGCCAUGUUGGUUGAAGGUACAGUUUGUCAUGUAGCUUUGUUGAAUAAUGCAGGUUAAAGGUCAUGUCUGUUUGACACUCUCUUCGCCCUCUGUUGAUCCAAAACAAGCUGAAAGGAGGAGCUUUGUGACGGCUCUUAUUUUGAGGAGAACUCCAGAAGGUUCUUGACAGAAGCGUAGCGUAGAAAUCCCCCAAGACAACCGUUUUAGACUUGACAUCCACACAACACGCAGCGGUACAUGCCUCAGCUCACACAGGGAGCGUUCAGGAUGUUUGUGUUGCUGUGGUUCCGGAUGCUGUCUGUCACACUGUUGUCAGUCAAUUCAUUGAAUAUCCUUGUUGUUUAUUUUCUAUACGGCUCUCUUUGUUCCUUUCUGUUCACACGGGUGCAACUGCCAGUGGAAGUGUCUAUUUAUUAUUGCGCUACCUUUUUUUUCCUCUGUAUUUGUGUUCAAUUUUUCUUACAUAUCAAUGUAUCUGUAAACAGGAUGUUAGUAUGUUAUCAGAUAUUUAAAAGAGCAAAAGGACGCUUCCACUUUUUAACCAGUUGACCUCAUAUCUGCUAUUAAAUCAUCUACCUUGGUACACCUGUGAUCUGUCCUUGGAUUAAGAAAAGUGCACCGUCAUAGGUUUCACCGCCGACCCUUUAACUGCCACAGAGAGUACGUUUCUAUCAGGCUCACAUUUUUUUACUCGCCUUGUCCUAAAGCAGUAUCCAUGCCUGUGUGUGAACUGAAAGAACUAGUGAUCGGUGAAAAAGCUCUUUUUGAGGUGAGCGACAAAAUCCAGUGUCUUCAUUCUGUGCACGCUCAACAGUGUCAGCAGUCGCACCCGGAGGAGUUUUCUUCUUUUCAGUAAGCAGAGUUCUCGCUUUGAUUCUCCCUAAACUGCUGUUUCCUGCUGAGCUGCAGUAGAGAUGUUUUAGCACAGAACAAGGAGGACCCGAUUUUGUGGAUACUAUUAUGGCCGGCACGAAUCCAAGCGAGCGCCUGAUCGUUGUUUUAACCCUCCUGUUGUUCUCAUUUGCGGGCACCAAAUAUAUUGUUUCCUUGUCUGAAAAAAAUUCAACAAAAAAAUUCCACAAGUUUCUGAAAAUUUGCGAAACCUUCAGGAAGAAAAUUCCAAUAAUUCCUUAAGUUUCCCUUUAAAGGUUUUAUUUCUAAAAAAUCCCCCAAUUUGGCAAGAAAAUAUUUUAAAAAUAUCUAAAGUGAUAACAGUAAAACUUCUAAUAUUUUCUUUAAGAACAUUCACAAAAAAAUCAACCAAAAUCCAGCGAAUUUCGCUGGAUUUUGGUUGAUUUUUUUUGUGAAUGUUCUUAAAGAAACAUUUUUAGCAUUUCUUUUUUUUCCGCCAAACAAUGUUCAAAGAUUUCCAAAAAUGUUGAAAAUGUGGACAUCAGAAGUUUCACUGUGAAAAUAAUUUUUUUUUUCCACAUUUUCAAACUUUAAAACGGGUCAUAUUUUGACCCGCAGGACGACACGAGGGUUAAGACAGACUUUGAAAAAUGUGAGCCUGCUGCUGUGUCAUUUCAUGUCUAAAACUGAUGAGGAGCAGAGCUGGGUGAGGUGGUUGAUCCACAACACUCGUAUCAGUCUCCACUUAAAAGUCUGUUCAUUAUUUUCCGCUAAGCUACUCAGAGGUCUUAAAUGAAUCAUCACUCGGCUCUUGUGAGGUCAGAUUUGACAAACGGGGGGAAAAAAAUCAUCCAUCAAGUUAUUCGAAGCAUCACCAAAAUUAGACGAGCGUGUUCUGGGGCGUCAGUGCUGCGACGCUGCCGAUUUCUGCUUGAUAUUUUGGAGCAGAUGGCCGAGGAGGGAAGUCUAGUGCUUCCCUGCCAAAGGCAAAUGAGCUGUGCAGAAACACCUGCAGUGUUGGUGCAGAUCUGAUGCCCCCUUGUGCUCAGUGUGGUGACCCUUAGUGUUCAAAAGUAAACAAAUGAGAAAAACACACUGUGACAUGAGUAGUUCUGUUUUUAAAACUGGUGAAGUAGGGGUAGGCAGUCUGUUUAGGGCUUCAUUGGACAAAGAUUACAUUAGAAUCAGUCAGUGUGUUGUAAUUGGAGCUCCAGAGGAAACUUCAUUUUUGCAGUCAGGUUUCAGGCUUUAGAAGAUCGAACCAGUGAUGGGAGAUUUGGCCAAAUAUGGUGCUCUUCAGAACAGAUCAGGUGAGUAAAUGUGAAGAGCAGGAAAGUCCACAUUGAGAGCAGGAUGUGGUGAGUAAAAGGGUCAAACAGAAGGCUUGAUUCUGCUGGAGGAGCCAUUUUAGAGUCCCUUUUUUUUCUGCAUUUCAGCCUACUGCAGCUUUAGAAGACACAAAAAGUGAGACGAGUCGUAGUUAUGGAAAGGAAAAAGCGGUUAACCCUCGUGUCGUCCUGCGGGUCAAAAUUGACCCGGUUUAAAGUUUAAAAUGUGGAAAAAAAUAUUUUUGCAGUGAAACUAAUGAUGACCACAUUUUCAACAUUUUUUGGGAAAUCUUUGAGCAUUUUUUGUUGGAAAAAGAAAUGUUAAAAAUGUUUUUUUAAGAACAUUCACCAAAAAAAUCAACCACAAUCCAACAAAUUUCACUGGAUUUUGGUUGGUUUUUUUGUGAAUGUUCCUAAAUAUAAUAAUAUAAGUUUUACUGAUAUAUCUGUAAUCACUAAAUUUUUUUAGGAUUUUUUGGAAGAUUUUUACUCAUUUUUUGAAAAUAUUUACAAGUAUUUUAUUGCCAAAUUUUGGGAAUUUUUUUUUAAAACAAAGCUUUUAAGGGAAACUUUUAAGGAAUUAUUGAAAUUCUCUUCCUGAAGGUUUUGCAAAUUUUCAGAAAUUUGGGGAAUUUUUUUGCUGAAUUUUUGGAUUUUUUUCAGACAAGGAAACAAUAUAUUUGGUGCCCGUAAAUGAGAACAACAGGAGGGUUACAAGUAAAUUUAAAGAAAAAGUUAUUCAAAACACCAUUUCUUUCAAAUUCUACAAGUCUAAUCAUGAGCUAUCACAAGCUAAUGAAAAAUUUGGCAGAAAAAAUAAAAGUGAGACUUUACAGAGCAUUUUGCAGCAUUUUAAAAAUAAAUAAUAGAGUUUUGUUUACUAUUUUCUGGUUAAAUAUUUUGGAUUUGAACACUUGAGGUCUCCACACUCCCCAGCAUUGACGCCAGAAACCAAAAGCACCAUCCAGCAGUGAUUGAACCUCAAACCAGACAAUCAGACAAGAUGUAAACGGCGGAGGUAAUUCACUCUCGAGUGGCACCAAGGCGGUGUUUUCACAUCUGUUUUGCUCAGGUCCAAACAGCUGUGGACCGAUCGUGUGUGAAAACCAGGAGCAAAUUCUCUGAAGCGCUGCAGCACCGACGUCACGGUUUGGAGACGAGGCCUCCGGGGUGUUUCUGGGAGCAGGAAGAUUACUCAGACACAUAAUUCAGAAAAGCCAUUUAAUAUUUGAUCACACCUCAGCUCUCUGACGGUCUCCAUGUCAUCCAUCAGAGGCAACAUCUGAGCUUCACCUUGUUAGAAGAGAGCCAGAGCUCAGUGUGUCUGUCCAUGUCUCAUCUGUGUCCACACUGAGCUGAAAGAGCUCUGAGCUGCUGGAAGAGUGAUGAUUCAGGUUCAGAAUUUGUGUUCAUUUUACCCAUAAAUUGUCCUCAAACUUAAAUCUUCACUGUUGUUUUGAAGUUGUGAACUUUUGACUGCAGACAGAUGACCUCAGUGCAGACCAGACUUCAUUGAAUUAAGGUUUCCGUGAUCAAAUCAGCUAAAAAGCCGGAGUCGGAACUAAAAUGCCAGUUUGCAGCAGAAUGUUGUGACUCAGCGUCAUCCAGUCAGACAGCAGGCUGCUCGUCGUCUCUGUGGAAACCAUCUCUCCUCCUCCUCUCAUCAGUAAAUCGUGUCGCACCUGACAAUUAAUAAAGCGCCGCCAUCACUCUUCUGUUCUCUGAUAUCUGAUGCUGUGUCUGUCCGUCCUCCUCCUGUCUGUAAAUCUGUCUUACAGCUGAAGAUGCAGUUCUAUUUACGAAAUAAAUACAUUUUUUCAGAA